UGGCAGGGUAAACCCCACUCGGAGCAAGACCAAAUAGGAAAACUAUGGUGCUGCCCGCACUGUUUUCGGGUUGGUUGCUUGAGAAUCGUUGGUGACAAUGGUUCCAGAUGAAUGAUUAUCCACGACAGAACCCGGCUUACAGGCUGACUUACUUU
rnacentral:RNase_P_RNA from 1 species